UCGGAAGCCUGACGAGGAUGAGAACCUCCGGGGGCAAGAGGUUCGACCCGAGCGAAGCGAGAGAACGUUGCUUCAGCAACGGCCCGCAGGGCGAGCCACGCAGUGGCGAGUCAUCCUCUAUCACCGACCA
rnacentral:sRNA from 1 species